rnacentral:rRNA from 1 species
UUAUGGCUCAGGAUAAACGCUGGCGGCGUGCUUAACACAUGCAAGUCGAACGGAGUAAUUCUCCCGAAGAUUGAAGAAGCUUGCUUCUGAAAGAUUCAUUUGAAUUACUUAGUGGCGGACGGGUGAGUAACGCGUGGGAAACCUGGCCCUAUACUGGGGGAUAGCAGUUGGAAACGACUGAUAAUACCGCAUAAGCGCACAGCUUCGCAUGAAGCAGUGUGAAAAACUCCGGUGGUAUAGGAUGGGUCCCGCGUCUGAUUUAGCUAGUUGGUGAGGUAACGGCCCACCCAAGGCAACGAUCAGUAGCCGGCCUGAGAGGGUGUACGGCCACAUUGGGACUGAGACACGGCCCAAACUCCUACGGGAGGCAGCAGUGGGGAAUAUUGGACAAUGGGGGAAACCCUGAUCCAAGCGACGCCGCGUGAACGAAGAAGUAUUUCGGUAUGUAAAGUUCUAUCAGCAGGGAAGAUAAUGACGGUACCUGACUAAGAAGCACCGGCUAAAUACGUGCCAGCAGCUGC